CACACAUAGUUCUUGUAGCAACUCUUAGGAAUUACGUCCUGUCAUUUCCAUUAUGGAGAUAAGGAAACAGGCUUGGAGAAUAUCACAUUUUUAGGGAUGGAGUAGGGAAUACAAAUUCAGUUGUGACAACUCUCAAAGGCUUUAUUCAUUGGCCGAUCAACCAACCAACCGAUCAAACACUGUGUCAGAGGAUGCUACUCUCCCAGGAAAUUCUCUGGAGGGACUUUGAUGUGAAAGUUGGCUCCCAAAGGCAGCCUACAAUGAGAGGAUGCCCUUUCUCUACUUAAGGAGAGUUUUCUCCUAACGUGAGCCAGUGAAUACCUGCUGAUGAUCUUGCAUUGCUAAAGAAACAGAUUCUUGAGUCCUAUCCCAGGCCUAAUAAUUCAGAACCCCUGUAAUGAGUGGGAAGCAAGGGCAGGUAUCUGCAUUUAAAACAAACUCAAGUUGCUCUUAAUUCCCCAGGGAAACUUGUGACCUGCUUGACCUCGCUAUGAGAAAAGAGUGACUCUCCAGGCUAAAUAUCUCUGACUUUCUCCUUCAGACCCUUUCUGGCCCAGGAGAGAGGGUGCAUGUUCUGAUUCCUUCAGCAGGCUCCCUCAAAGGAUGGAGGAGAAUGGGGACAAGGUCUUUGAGUCUCAGGCUCCCUUUCUGUUCAGCCAUUGCAAGUUGGCUGCCUCAUAACACCUGUCAGGCAGCCCUCUUCACACAAGGAAAUCUUGAGUUUUCAGGAACUACACCCUCUUAGCUAUUUAAGCUCUGGGUGAUAAUGUUCUUCCUGGUGCCCCCUCCAGGGUAUGAUACUAUCUUCCACUGCUUUGUGAAAGCCUGUCCACAUCUGUGAACAGUCUCCUUGUUAUCUGCAGCAUCCCCCAGUUAGCAGGGUCCUCUGGUUCCUGGCCGAAACUUGAUCCAUGUUCUGACAAACAUAGUCCCAAUGGCUAUAUACUACUUACUUAUUCUAGGUUGUUCUUUCUAUAUUGCACCUAUUAGGGACUUGAUUUGCCCCUGAGUUGCCUCAUCUGUUAAGUGAGUUAGUAUACUCUUAUUUCCAACUGUUGUAAGGAUUAAAUGAGAAUAAUGUAAAAUGCCUAACAUGUGCCUCCUAUAGACUUUGAGUUAAUGUUAAUCCUGGUCACAUAUUUACAGCUGCAUCUGUCUCCUCAUUAACAGAUCUUGAUUGACCUCCAAGGCACUGCUCUUUUCAGACCUUCCUUAUUCCUUGUUCUCUCUCCCCACCAGCUCUUCCUGGCAGAGGACCCUUUGCUCACUCUGACACCCGGCUUGCUCAGUCUUACUGGGACUUAGAGCUCACUUUAAGAGCUACCCGGUCAACUCCCAUUGUCUCUAAGCCAUGUCCCUUUUUUGUGCCCGGGCACCAGACCUUUCCACCAACUCCAGAUUGACCCUUAUUUUCUCUGCAUAUCAAUAUGCAUGUGUCUCCAGAUUUAGCCCUCAGAACUUUCCUGAUCUAAGCUUUAGUUUCUUUUUUUUUGUGUGGGGGGGAGGUGUCUUUUUUCCAGCUCUCAGAUUUCCCUAUAAUCCAAGCAUUUAAAGCCAAUCAUGCUUCUAAAUCCACUUCCAUUUGGAGCUUUAAAACUCUUACAAUAUCACUCAGGCAUCUCAUGUCAUCACACUUGUGUAAGAACUCAAUUGCAGGUAAGGGGCCCUUCUCAGCCUAAAAGCAACAAUAAGUUGUUCUCUAACCUAGAAAAAGUUGAAGGAGAUUGCUUGUUCAUUUGAGCACCAAGCAAGGACUGCGCACAGAGGGUAGUUUAUUUCUGCCCAUAGCACAUGUAAGAAUGCAAGCAAGGUGUGAGCCAGUCUCCUUACUCAAUCCUCCUUCAGAGCUCCUUACAAUUAACCUGUGAACUUUCAAGAAAGGCAGUUGGAUUUGAGAACCACUAAACCCAGAUCCUACACGUGACUCACUAUACAAGUUACUCUGAAUGCUUAUAGGCAGUGAACUAUAAGGAAUUAGUGGGUUAUAAGACCACGAAGGUACUUGCCUAUCCUCAAGAGUCCCAUGUUUUAGAUGGAAUAUGCUAUUUGCACUGGAAUACCUGCUUCCUGCCUGAUUCUGAUUUCCUUGGUCUCAGACUUUGAUUAUUCCCUUGUUUAAAUAUGGUCUUAAAGUAUGAGUAUUAAUCACCUGGUAAUGCCACCGGGCUUGCUAUAGGCUUCUCUGUAAAUGUUGACUCUAGCUGUCUAGACUGAACUACUGUGCGCUCUGGGGCUUGAAAUAUGUGCUCUAGGACAGCUAUAUUUUCUUUGGGACAUCAGUGUUAUUCCAUAGUCACUCCUUGAAUUUGCUCUUUGUUCUGGCUUUGUGUCUCUGGAAAGGGAGUUUAUUUUUCUUUUUUGUGGAGGAGAGUCUCUUAUGAUUAGUAUCUGACCAACACUCAAUCUUCGAGAUCGAGGUGUCUUCUGAGUAUACCAGGCACCAAUAGCUUGCAGUGUAACUGUUAAUUCCCUUUAAGCCCUGUGUACUAGGGGUUACCCACCCGUGCUGUUCACACAUAGAAAAGAAUCUUACGUGAAGUGUCCAAAGUUACACCUACAUUGAAAUUGUUAGAAUUCCUUACUUUAUGUAAUUUUUCAUUUAAAGAAACUGAAGUCUGAAAGCCUAAGAGGUUUUUAUGAGGAGUCCCAAAACCCAAACGCCUCUCACGUUUUGUCUCUGGAACGUAAUCUGGUUAUUUAGGGGUGGAGUGGGACCCCAAGUUUCUGCUUCAUAUGCCUAUAACUUAAUUCCUCAUUGGCUAAUUUAUUUAAACACAGUAUUAGGAAUUAGGGAAUUAUUUGAGAACUCCAUUCUUCAGAAGGCUACUAUCUAGCCCUAGAUAAAACAAAUGCUUGAAUUGAAAUAACUCUUCCUCAUGUGUUAGAAUUUUUAGAAAGCAUUUGACAGGACCAGCUGUUGCUUUUCAGCAGCAGUUUUUAAAACAAAUUGCAACAAAGAAGAAAAUGUGACAAAGAGUGAUUUUAGACUAAAGAUGCCUUUUAUAUAUGGGUAGCUAGACAGCCAGGCAGUCCACUUGCAGUUUGUUCAGUAGAAUAAAGUCCACUACAAGGAGCUGAGAAAUAGCCUAAUUUGCUAAGAUGUUUUCAUUUUAUCCCAUUAAUUCAUUUUACCUUAGAAUUUGUGCAACAGCCUUAAACACAUUGAGGAAGACAUUAUGGAAAAAAUGUAAAAUAUCAUUGUUUUUUCCCCAAGUAUAGAUAAAUCUCUAGUAAGUGCAUCUCUGCACUUCUGUUCACACUGUUCAUGUUUAUAAGUGAGGUUAGCAUUUCUUUAGCAUACCAUACUUAGUGAUCCACAGGUUUAGGAUUCAUUGGAGUAUUUUCUUCCAGAUGUCAGUCUUGGGAUCAUUAGGGCCAGUGCUGUGCCUCUUCAGUAGUAGCAAGUUAAAAUGCAAAAUUCUGAAGUAGUAUUUGCAGUCAGUAACUCUGGGAGGGCUUGCCAUAAAUCUUGCACUGUUCAAAAGUAAAACACCUGCAAAUCUUCUAUUCUGCCUACAGUGUGAAACUCAAGGUGAAAUACAGGCCAGAUAUUAAAAGUUUAUCUUCUCUCCCUCUUGACUAGGUGUACGUAUAAAGGAGAAAAAUCCACUUAAAGCUUUAAGUAAAACAGAUCACAUCUAGGCUAUUUCCACUUUACUAUUGAUUGAAAAGCGCAAAAGAAGAUACUGUCUCAAAUACACAUCAUCUCUUUCUUGCACCAGUGACCCCUGUUAUGCUGUCAGUAAUAGCCCUGAAGUUUACUGUCUGAGCUUCCAGGAAUUUGAAUUGAUUUCACCAGUUAAUUAACCUCAGGACACAUGGAGAUCUCCACAGAGCAUACGGCACUGGCCAACCGAGGGCUCUCGUGGCAUUGACAGCUACCUUCUCCCAAAGUAGUACUUUCAAAGGAGAGAGCAAGGAAAAAGCCACAUGACUUUCUAUGACCUUGUCUUGGAAGCCAUAUACUGUCAACUUCCACCACAGUUUAGAGUCAUUAAGUACAACCUACACUCAAGAGAAGGUUAAUUAGGCUCUGCAUUUUUAAGGGAGGAGUAUCUAAGAAUUUGUGGGCAUGUUUUAAAAUCACACUUAUUUUCCACAAAUGUUAGGUGCAUAUGGUGGCCAGCAACAUAUAUUUAAAAGAAAUGGAGAAUUAGAGAAAUUAAAUGAAGUAUAUGGUGUGUGAACUACUUCUCAAUAGGCUAAUUUUUUUUUUUUUUUUGUCUUUUUGCCUUUUUUCUAGCACCGCUCCCGCGGCAUAUGGAGGUUCCCAGGCUAGGGGUCUAAUCGGAGCUGUAGCCUUCGGCCUACACCACAGCCACAGCAACAAGGGAUGCGAGGGAUCCGAGCUGCAUCUGCAGCCUACACCACAGCUCACAGCAACGCCCAGAUCCUUUAACCCACUGAGCAAGGCCAGGGACCCAACCCGCAACCUCAUGGUUUCUAGUCAGAUUCUUUAACCACUGCGCCACGACGGAAAUUCCCAAUAGGCUGUUAAUUUUUGUGUAAACAAACAGUGGGGAAAGCACUUCAUAGGAGAAAGAAUUUGAUCUCUAGAGUUUUACACCCAGUUUUUUUGCUUUGUUUUGUUUUUUAUACCAAGGGUGGGUCAUCUAAGCCCCAUACCAAACUUAAAUGGUGAUGCACUGGAGCUGGUAUGUUCUGACUUGUGAGUGACAAUCAUUAGUAUUUUCUCCAGUUCCAUGUUCAGUGACACCAGGUUGGAAGCUUGAAAUCAACCAUAGUGAAACUAUUUGCAUCAUGAAAAUUGAUAGUCUACAUAUCUUCCUUCUUCUAGAGAACUGGGUAUUUUAAUAUUGAUGAGCACAUAACUAUGAUUGAUUCUAAGAGAAAGAAAAUUAAGGGACUUCUUUUACAACUUAUUUUUUAUUUUUAAAAAUAUUUUUGCUUUUCCCAAGGGCCCUAAGGGUAGCAGAUGAAAAGCCCAGAAUUUGGAACUACUGUUGAACGAAUAUAAAUUAGCUUUAUUUUUGGUGUGUAGGAUACCUCUUGAAGAGGAUCAGUGGCUCCACGUGGCCCAGACCAUUUUCCUUGCCUCCAUCACAGUAUCAGUGAACCUGUAAUGAUGAGGGAGACUAUGACUAGUUAGCUGACUAGUUGUGAUUGGGAAAUUAUUCUACUUCAGGGGCUGAAAUUAAAGAACUAAUGAAAGUCAAAAGUAAAAACAGGUGGUAGUUCAAGAAAAAGAGAAAAGGUCACAAAUGGAGAGGAACCCUAUUUUGUACUUACUAGGAAAUUGCUAGAAAAGGGAUAUAUGAAGGAUCUCUGUAUUUUCCAACAAAAUUGUGAGACUAUUUUCUCAGUACAGAAAACGUUAGACCUCAUUUCUCUAAUUUGGCAAUUAUUCCUCAAAUCAGUAUUCAUUACCACUAGCCUCUGCUGAAUACUCUUGAAUAAGUAUUCCUUAUUUAUGUGAUGCCUUUUUUUUUUUUACAUAUUGAAACAUCUAUAUUACACAUAGUGGCAGUUUUGCAGAAUUUUCUGUGCAGACAAUCAUACAAACACAAUCCCUAAAAUGGAAGCAUGUGACAUACGGAGGAUGGAGAAGGAUGAAACUGACUUCAGUGGAGCAACUGUUUUUUAGCAAUAGUGCUAAUAGCUCAAAAGUGAUCACAUUUACAGAUAAGAAGUAAAAGACUGUGCCAGAGACAUGUGGGUUAAGACACAUGAAAUCUCACCACCACGCUAGCUCUGAGAACUGACAGCUAGGUUACCAUGGAGACAGAAGCAGAGACACCAGCUAUGAACUCAGAAUACCAAUUAACAGCUAGCUCUUUAUGUUACUAAAAUUGGUUGUCAGGGAAACUUGCAGGAUUCGUUCAGAUUAUCAAAUGGAUUACAAACUGAAUCCGAAAGUCAGAUUCUUUAGAAUUUUAUGUAUCUUGAAUUAUUUAUGGAGAUUCAUGCUACCCUCAGGAUAGUAUCCAUUGUCUCUUCUUCGUCACUACCCUUCCUUGUUUUGUUUCCUUUAAAACAUUCCUUAGGCAGAUAUUGGGAUAUAUAUUUUAAUGUUCUUGCUUGUUUUCC
rnacentral:lncRNA from 1 species